GCAUAUCAAUAAGCGGAGGAAAAGAAACCAACAGGGAUUGCCCUAGUAACGGCGAGUGAAGCGGCAACAGCUCAAAUUUGAAAUCUGGCUCCAUGUGGAGUCCGAGUUGUAAUUUGUAGAGGGUGCUUUGGCAUUAGUUGUGGUCUAAGUUCCUUGGAACAGGACGUCACAGAGGGUGAGAAUCCCGUACGUGGCCGCCAGCUUUUGCCGUGUAAAGUCCCUUCAAAGAGUCGAGUUGUUUGGGAAUGCAGCUCUAAAUGGGAGGUAAAUUUCUUCUAAAGCUAAAUAUCUGCCAGAGACCGAUAGCGCACAAGUAGAGUGAUCGAAAGAUGAAAAGCACUUUGGAAAGAGAGUCAAAAAGUACGUGAAAUUGUUGAAAGGGAAGCGCUUGCAGCUAGACAUGCCCGUAGUUGCUCAGCCCGGCUUCUGCCUGGGAUUUUCUUCUACGAGCAGGCCAGCAUCAGUUUAGGCGGUUGGAUAAAGGUCUGUGUCAUGUGACUCCCCUUCGGGGGAGAGCUUACAGGGUGGACGACAUGCAACCAGCCUGAACUGAGGUCCGCGCAUCUGCUAGGAUGCUGGCGUAAUAGCUGUAAGCGGCCCGUCUUGAAACACGGACCAAGGAGUCUAACAUCUAUGCGAGUGUUUGGGUGUUAAGCCCGGACGCACAAUGAAAGUAAACGGAGGUGGGAUCCCACUUGGGUGCACCAUCGACCGAUCCUGAUGUUUUCGGAUGGAUUUGAGUAAGAGCAUAGCUGUUGGGACCCGAAAGAUGGUGAACUAUGCCUGAAUAGGGUGAAGCCAGAGGAAACUCUGGUGGAGGCUCGCAGCGGUUCUGACGUGCAAAUCGAUCGUCAAAUUUGGGCAUAGGGGCGAAAGACUAAUCGAACUAUCUAGUAGCUGGUUCCUGC
rnacentral:rRNA from 1 species